rnacentral:rRNA from 1 species
AAGGAUCAUUAAUGAAUUCACUAUGGAGUUGUUGCUGGCCUCUAGGGGCAUGUGCACGCUUCACUAGUCUUUCAACCACCUGUGAACUUUUGAUAGAUCUGUGAAGUCGUCCUUCAAGUCGUCAGACUUGGUUUGCUGGGAUUUAAACGUCUCGGUGUGACAACGCAGUCUAUUUACUUAACACACCCCAAAUGUAUGUCUACGAAUGUCAUUUAAUGGGCCUUGUGCCUAUAAACCAUAAUACAACUUUCAACAACGGAUCUCUUGGCUCUCGCAUCGAUGAAGAACGCAGCGAAAUGCGAUAAGUAAUGUGAAUUGCAGAAUUCAGUGAAUCAUCGAAUCUUUGAACGCACCUUGCGCCCCUUGGUAUUCCGAGGGGCAUGCCUGUUUGAGUGUCAUUAAAUUCUCAAACUCACAUUUAUUUGUGAUGUUUGGAUUGGGUUGGGGGGGUUGCUGGCUGUAACAAGUCGGCUCCUCUUAAAUGCAUUAGCAGGACUUCUCAUUGCCUCUGGCGCAUGAUGUGAUAAUUAUCACUCAUCAAUAGCACGCAUGGAAUAGAGUCCAGCUCUCUAAUCGUCCGCAAGGACAAUUUGACAAUUUGACCUCCAAUCAGGUAGGACUACCCGCUGAACUUAA